UGAGGCCAGGAUCGCCCCCCGUCAGCGCGUUGCGCCCACGGGGGCAACCUGUG
rnacentral:sRNA from 1 species